rnacentral:rRNA from 1 species
GAUGAACGCUGGCGGCGUGCCUAAUACAUGCAAGUCGAGCGAACAGACGAGGAGCUUGCUCCUCUGACGUUAGCGGCGGACGGGUGAGUAACACGUGGAUAACCUACCUAUAAGACUGGGAUAACUUCGGGAAACCGGCGCUAAUACCGGAUAAUAUAUUGAACCGCAUGGUUCAAUAGUGAAAGACGGUUUUGCUGUCACUUAUAGAUGGAUCCGCGCCGCAUUAGCUAGUUGGUAAGGUAACGGCUUACCAAGGCGACGAUGCGUAGCCGACCUGAGAGGGUGAUCGGCCACACUGGAACUGAGACACGGUCCAGACUCCUACGGUAGGCAGCAGUAGGGAAUCUUCCGCAAUGGGCGAAAGCCUGACGGAGCAACGCCGCGUGAGUGAUGAAGGUCUUCGGAUCGUAAAACUCUGUUAUUAGGGAAGAACAAAUGUGUAAGUAACUAUGCACGUCUUGACGGUACCUAAUCAGAAAGCCACGGCUAACUACGUG